rnacentral:misc_RNA from 1 species
UUGUCGCUGCGAACUCAAUGGGAAAAAUGAAGGUAUUAAAGAUGGUGUGAGUUGUGGCAAGAGCUUGCCCUCUACAGCACAUUCAUCCAGGAAGGCAGGAAGCAGAACUACUCUUGGAGCAUUUGCUAUUUGGAUGCCAGUCGCAAAAAGUUGUCUCAAUUGGGGUGGGAGGACGGUGCAUAAGUGUGACCUUGGUUUAAACACUAAGGAAACAUGUGCUAGUCUUGAGCUCUCUCAUUUGCUGAGGAAAUAUUAUUUCAUAGAUGCUUUCGGCCAACUAUUAAUGACAUGCUGCUUGCAACAGCUUCACUUCAAUGACAUGAACUAUUGGUUUCAUAGCUAACCAGGCUACUGAGUCGAUGAAGAUCAAAUACCCGUAACUAUUUCAAGGACAGGGAUUCUAAGGUGCAGCCGUUAGAAAAAGAGCAUAUUCCAGCCAAAGCUCUUUUAAACAAUUUAAAGGGAGGCUAAAUUUGGUUAAUAUUUAAACUUUGGAAAGAGAGGAUAUUCGCACAGGC